UUAAGUAUACCAGAACCACCUGACCAAGAAUAAUUAAUUUCAUAACUAUUAAGUAAACUGAAUUGAGCAUUUCUUAGAUUUUUUUGGUUUAGAGCUUUUAUUGUCUCUUUGGUAAUAUGUUGGAGUUUACUUUUCCUAUGGCAUACGUUUAUUUUGGAAGUUAUUUGCAUGUAUACUGGUAGGCGGUUGUCUACGUGCCCCCUUAUAGCUGCUUAUUAUCUAUAAGUGGUGAAUAUUAUUUUCCUGAGUUUAAUUGUAUGUAUCAAGCCGCUUGGUGGAAAGACUUCCUAUUGUAUCUUGACAUGUGAAUUGAAUGUUGUGGUUAUAUUAACAUCACUCUUUGUUUUGUUGUCUACUUCUUUAUUUCCCUUUGGAUGGGCGCUCAUGUCGGCGUGGGGCACAGCGGCCUCCGAGGGAGCCGAGCCGGCGGAUGUGGAGGCUGCCGAGCGGCGGUGCUCGCGUGAAGGAGGAAUAUGAUGAUGCGUGGAGUGGCGUGGGGUACCAACCAUCUCCAUCGAGUGGCGGUGCUCGCGUGAAGGAUGAGUUCGUUAGCACUCUCUCGGCUGUGGCUGCACGUUCAACUGGCCAGUCAAGGAGCUCCAGCAAGCAGGACACCCAGCGAGUGUUUAGGAUCCCACACACG